AUGCCUGAUCCGGGCUCAUCCCAACCCUUGCACACGUGCGUAACCACCUUGGAGCAAUGCCCGUUGGGGUCAUACCCCUUCCCCUUCCCCGCUGCUCCCCGGGGCAGGAGGCAGCGUGCCUGCGGCUGGCCCUGGCCCUGGCGGGGUGUGCGCCGGGGUGCCCCCGGACCCCGCAUGCGCCGGGCUUCGCAGGCGAUGGUUAAGUCAUGUGUUUUGUGUUGGGCUUCUCCCCCUCCUGGAAAGUCCCUGUGCGGAGCGGUGGGGCUGAGCCGACCGCACACAGCUGCGGGCCACCACAUGAGAGGAGCCAGCUCCCCGGGGAUUACAGAGCCCCGGGAGCCGUGGGGAGGAGGCAGGAGCACCCGCGCCGUCGCCCUUUCAUCUCUCCCCUGCCUCGCUCCCCCUUUCAUGUCUGCCUCUCUGGCCACGCUCUCUUUUCCUCCGCCGCCUUUGCUCUCUUUGCACUUGGCCUCUUUUCCCUGCCUUCCCCCCACCCCUUCCCCGCUGCACCUGGCUGUGCUGGCUGCCUCUGCGCCUCUCCUCUGUCCCCCCCCCCCAGGACCCUGCGCUUUCAUCCCCCGGCCGCAGCCGCCUGCUCCCACCUCCCCUGCUCUGGCUGCCUGCCCCUCGCCGGCUGUGCCCCUCUGUGAUCUCCCUCCCCAUCCCCAAACCUCCCCUUGCUUUGGUGGGAAGGAGGGGGUGGCACAGGCAAAGUCCCCUCUGGAGUUCUCCCUCUCCAUCCAAAGAGCUUUUCUCCCUUUCUCCCAUCCGUCCCCUUGUCCCCAUCAGGCUGCCUCUAGGGCCGUGUGUGUCCCGGCCACCCCCUUGCCCCAUCUGCCUCAUGGAAGGAGUGCACUGGGGAUGCUGGGGGACCCCGAUGUCCCUCCCUGCCCCUGGCACCCACCUUCUUCAGCCCCAGCUGGGGACCAAGCGAGGGCACCCGUCCUGCAGCAGCCGGUGUCGGGCACUCCUUGCCCAACCAAGGGAGGUCUUUGGUCAAGGGAUGAGGGAAAGAAGUGGGUGUCCUAUUCUCUUGGCUCACAGACCCGUGCCUGGGACUGCUGUGUGCACCCCAAAAGGCCUGGGGAGCUUCUGGUGUCAGCCAGGGACAGGGCGCCAUGA
rnacentral:lncRNA from 1 species